GCUUGCCGAAUUUUUACUGUACUGUAAAACUUUGCCGCAACCCUAACAUCAUUUACACAUUAAGUAAUAGUUUAAUUUUGUCGAAGCUCUGCAAUUUACUACUUUAGAUCCUAUCUGUGGACAAUGGUGCUGGUUGCAUUGUUACAAAAUCUUCAAAUUAUUAAGAUUUAGUACAUAAGCCCUCAAUGUAACUGUUUGUUGUCCCAAAUAAAGAGAAAAAAAAA